UACGGAGGGUGCAAGCGUUAAUCGGAAUUACUGGGCGUAAAGCGUGCGUAGGCGGUUUGUUAAGUCUGCUGUGAAAUCCCCGAGCUUAACUUGGGAAUUGCAGUGGAUACUGGCAAGCUGGAGUACGGUAGAGGAAGGUGGAAUUCCCGGUGUAGCAGUGAAAUGCGUAGAGAUCGGGAGGAACACCAGUGGCGAAGGCGGCCUGCUGGACCAGUACUGACGCUCAUGCACGAAAGCGUGGGGAGCAAACAGG
rnacentral:rRNA from 1 species